ensembl:lncRNA
AUGGUGGAGAGUUGUGCUCGAGCAAUGAGGUUGGGGCUGCUCAUCUUCCUCUCCUCCUCUCUCCUCUCCUCCUGUCCACUCCUUUCCUCUCCUCGCCCUUAUCUCUCCUCUCCUUUACUCUCAUCGCCCUCCUCUCUCCUCUCCUGUCCACUCCUUUCCUCUUCCUCUCCUCCUCUCUACUCUCCUCCCCUCCUCUCCUCGCCCUUAUCUCUCCUCUCCUCUCCUCCUUUCCUCUCAUCGCCCUCCUCUCUCCUCUCCUCCCCUCCUCUCCACUCCUUUCCUCUCCUCGCCCUUAUCUCUCCUUCCUCCCCUCCUUUCCUCUUCCUCUCCUCCUCUCUCAUCUCCUCCCCUCCUUUCCUCUCAUCACCCUCCUCUCUCCUCUCCUCCCCUCCUUUCCUCUCAUCGCCCUCCUCUCUCCUCUCCUCCCCUCCUCUCCACUCCUUUCCUCUCCUCGCCCUUAUCUCUCCUUCCUCCCCUCCUUUCCUCUUCCUCUCCUCCUCUCUCAUCUCCUCCCCUCCUUUCCUCUCAUCACCCUCCUCUCUCCUCUCCUCCCCUCCUUUCCUCUCAUCGCCCUCCUCUCUCCUCUCCUCCCCUCCUGUCCACUCCUUUCCUCUUCCUCUCCUCCUCUCUCCUCUCCUCCCCUCCUCUCCUCGCCCUUAUCUCUCCUCUCCUCUCCUCCUUUCCUCUCAUCGCCCUCCUCUCUCCUCUCCUCCCCUCCUCUCCACUCCUUUCCUCUCCUCGCCCUUAUCUCUCCUUCCUCCCCUCCUUUCCUCUUCCUCUCCUCCUCUCUCAUCUCCUCCCCUCCUUUCCUCUCAUCACCCUCCUCUCUCCUCUCCUCCCCUCCUUUCCUCUCAUCACCCUCCUCUCUCCUCUCCUCCACUCCUUUCCUCUCCUCGCCCUUAUCUCUCCUUCCUCCCCUCCUUUCCUCUUCCUCUCCUCCUCUCUCCUCUCCUCCCCUCCUUUCCUCUCAUCACCCUCCUCUCUCCUCUCCUCCCCUCCUUUCCUCUCAUCACCCUCCUCUCUCCUCUCCUCCACUCCUUUCCUCUCCUCGCCCUUAUCUCUCCUUCCUCCCCUCCUUUCCUCUUCCUCUCCUCCUCUCUCCUCUCCUCCCCUCCUUUCCUCUCAUCACCCUCCUCUCUCCUCUCCUCCCCUCCUUUCCUCUCAUCACCCUCCUCUCUCCUCUCCUCCCCUCCUGUCCACUCCUUUCCUCUCAUCAUCCUCAACUCUCCUCUCCUCUCCUCCCCUCCUCUCCACUCCUUUCCUCUCAUCACCCUCAUCUCUCCUUCCUCCCCUCCUUUCCUCUCAUCACCCUCCUCUCUCCUCACCUCCCCUCCUUUCCUCUCAUCACCCUCCUCUCUCCUCUCCUCCCCUCCUGUCCACUCCUUUCCUCUCAUCGCCCUCCUCUCUCCUUCCUCCCCUCCUCUCCACUCAUUUCCUCUGAUGGGUUCAGUUCUAUAA